ACAGGAGAGACGUUGUGGGUGAGACAGAGGGAACAUCAAAUGAGAAACUGGGAAGAGAUAUGAAGUAGCGGGACCAGUUUUUCUAAAUGGUUAUCAAGUUUCUCAACAGAAAGCUCAACUGAUCAAAGAGAAGGAAGGAAGCAAUUUGCUGGACUCCCAGGACACCAACGCAGAGCUACCUUCGAGCCGGCACUGUGUGACUGCAUGGAGACUGUCUGUGCCAGUGGGCCAGACCUAAAGAAGGAACUACCAGAUGAUGCUGAGGAUUCCUGCAUUCAUCGACAGAAGCAGUUUAGUGAGACAAAGGAACCGUAAGGCAGGAUAUGCAGUAACUGCUACUGAGCAGGUAAUCAGAGUACAACCGUUACCUGUAGGGACUUCCACUAAGAGGUCUAAAAUAGC
rnacentral:lncRNA from 1 species